rnacentral:rRNA from 1 species
AUGAAGAAGGCUCAGGAAAAACUUGGUGGCUUAGUUGGAAGGAACCCAGGAUUGUCAAAAGAUUUCAAUGAUAUAGUUGACUUUAGCUUCACUCCAGGAGAAUUUGAGACAAAAUGGACAGGCUUGAAGGAUAAGUGGCCGUUUAUUGCUGGAACCCACUUUGAUAAGCUGUAUGAGUACCGGGCAACAUGGGUGCCGUGUUACUUCAAACACCGGUUUUUCCCUUCUUGCAGUCUACCCAGCGCAGCGAAGGAUUCAAUGCAGUUCUUAAGCGUUAUGUGA